rnacentral:rRNA from 1 species
UACGAAGGGGGCUAGCGUUGCUCGGAAUCACUGGGCGUAAAGGGUGCGUAGGCGGGUCUUUAAGUCAGGGGUGAAAUCCUGGAGCUCAACUCCAGAACUGCCUUUGAUACUGAGAAGCUUGAGUCCGGGAGAGGUGAGUGGAACUGCGAGUGUAGAGGUGAAAUUCGUAGAUAUUCGCAAGAACACCAGUGGCUAAGGCGGCUCACUGGCCCGGUACUGACGCUGAGAUGCGAAAGCGUGGGGAGCAAACAGG